rnacentral:rRNA from 1 species
CCUACGGGAGGCAGCAGUGGGGAAUAUUGCACAAUGGGCGCAAGCCUGAUGCAGCCAUGCCGCGUGUAUGAAGAAGGCCUUCGGGUUGUAAAGUACUUUCAGCGGGGAGGAAGCGAUGUGGUUAAUAACCGCGUCGAUUGACGUUACCCGCAGAAGAAGCACCGGCUAACUCCGUGCCAGCAGCCGCGGUAAU